UAGUCCUACGGGACGCAGCAGUGAGGAAUAUUGGUCAAUGGGCGAGAGCCUGAACCAGCCAAGUCGCGUGAAGGAUGAAGGAUCUAUGGUUUGUAAACUUCUUUUAUAUGGGAAUAAAGUGAGGAACGUGUUCCUUUUUGUAUGUACCAUAUGAAUAAGCAUCGGCUAACUCCGUGCCAGCAGCCGCGGUAAUACGGAGGAUGCGAGCGUUAUCCGGAUUUAUUGGGUUUAAAGUGUGCGUAGGUGGUUAAUUAAGUCAGCGUUGAAAUUUUGUGUCUCAACCAUAAAAUUGCCGUUGAAACUGG
rnacentral:rRNA from 1 species